UACAGAGGGCUCGAGCGUUAAUCGGAAUCACUGGGCUUAAAGCGUGCGUAGGCGGACUUGAAGGCGCCUUGUGAAAUCCCUCAGCUCAACUGAGGAACUGCUUGGCGAACCACGAGUCUUGAGGUCGGUAGAGGCGGUCGGAACGAUAGGUGGAGCGGUGAAAUGCGUAGAUAUCUAUCGGAACGCCAAUGGUGCAGACAGGCCGCUGGGCCGCACCUGACGCUGAGGCACGAAAGCGUGGGGAUCAAACGGG
rnacentral:rRNA from 1 species